GACGAACGCUGGCGGCGUGCUUAACACAUGCAAGUCGAACGGAAAGGCCCUGCUUUUGUGGGGUGCUCGAGUGGCGAACGGGUGAGUAACACGUGAGCAACCUGCCCUUGACUUUGGGAUAACUUCAGGAAACUGGGGCUAAUACCGGAUAGGAGCUCCUGCUGCAUGGUGGGGGUUGGAAAGUUUCGGCGGUUGGGGAUGGACUCGCGGCUUAUCAGCUUGUUGGUGGGGUAGUGGCUUACCAAGGCUUUGACGGGUAGCCGGCCUGAGAGGGUGACCGGCCACAUUGGGACUGAGAUACGGCCCAGACUCCUACGGGAGGCAGCAGUGGGGAAUAUUGCACAAUGGGCGGAAGCCUGAUGCAGCAACGCCGCGUGCGGGAUGACGGCCUUCGGGUUGUAACCCGCUUUCGCCUGUGACGAAGCGUGAGUGACGGUAAUGGGUAAAGAAGCACCGGCUAACUACGUG
rnacentral:rRNA from 1 species